GGAUCCAGACUUUGAUUCUGGCUCAGGACGAACGCUAGCUACAGGCUUAACACAUGCAAGUCGAGGGGAAACGACAUCGAAAGCUUGCUUUUGAUGGGCAUCGACCGGCGCACGGGUGAGUAACGCGUAUCCAACCUGCCCACCACUUGGGGAUAACCUUGCGAAAGUAAGACUAAUACCCAAUGAUAUCUCUAGAAGACAUCUGAAAGAGAUUAAAGAUUUAUCGGUGAUGGAUGGGGAUGCGUCUGAUUAGCUUGUUGGCGGGGUAACGGCCCACCAAGGCAACGAUCAGUAGGGGUUCUGAGAGGAAGGUCCCCCACAUUGGAACUGAGACACGGUCCAAACUCCUACGGGAGGCAGCAGUGAGGAAUAUUGGUCAAUGGACGAGAGUCUGAACCAGCCAAGUAGCGUGCAGGAUGACGGCCCUAUGGGUUGUAAACUGCUUUUAUAAGGGAAUAAAGUGAGUCUCGUGAGACUUUUUGCAUGUACCUUAUGAAUAA
rnacentral:rRNA from 1 species